rnacentral:tRNA from 1 species
GACCGCGUAGCUCAGUUGGCAGAGCAUUGGCCUAGUAUUCCAAAAGGUCGUAGGUUCGAUUCCCACCGUGGCCG